AGGUUAUAAGAACAAAACUUCAGGAGAAACUAUCCCACUUAAACAGGAGGAAGAGAAUGAUGGUAAAAUUCCUAAUUUUAUCCUUCUUGGUGAUGCUUUACACAACGGCUAUUUUUCAUCAAAUGGACAUAGUCCGGCCAUUCCAGAACAACAGGAAAAAACAAAUCCUCCUGAAGAUGAACCUAAAUACAUGGCAUAUAAAGAAUACAAUACCCGGUUACUUUCAUUUCCAAGAUUCCUAUCACAGGAUAUGAAGAAAGGCUUAGCUUAUGCUGGAUUUUACUAUGAAGGGUACGACUUAGCGACAACAUGUUUUCAUUGCGGUUGCUCAAAGGAUGAUUGGAAAAUUGGGGAUAGCGCCAUAAUGGAGCAUUCCUACUUAAAUUUCUCCUGUCCAUAUUUACG